GAGGGAAUAGCUCAGUGGUAGAGUGUGUGCUUAGCAUGCACAAGUCCUGGGUUCAAUUCCCCAGUACCUCCG
rnacentral:tRNA from 1 species